UACGAAGGGGGCUAGCGUUGUCGCGAAUACUGGGCGUAAAGCGUGCGCAGGCGGCUUCUCAAGUCAGGGGUGAAAGCCCAGAGCUCAACUCUGGAAUUGCCUUUGAGACUGAGUGGCUUGAGUACGAGAGAGGUGAGUGGAAUUCCCAGUGUAGAGGUGAAAUUCGUAGAUAUUGGGAAGAACACCGGUGGCGAAGGCGGCUCACUGGCUCGUAACUGACGCUCAUGCACGACAGCGUGGGGAUCAAACAGG
rnacentral:rRNA from 1 species